CAUAGUUUAUGCCUUGCAUCUCAUAUUAACCCUUUAAGAUAGACACUGGAAAUAUUACUGUCACUAUUUUAUAGAUGAGAAAACUGAGGCCCAAAGAAGUUAAAUGAUUUGCCUGUGGUCACACAAUCAAGAAGUGGCAGAGUGGGAAACCCUGAAGCCAGAUCUUCCUACUGCAGGAUUAAUGAUCAUUUGACUUUUAUCAGGUUGUCAUCCUUUCCACAGAUGGAAGAGGUUGGUGUGGUGCAGUGGUAAAAGCAUCUGACCACAAGUGAGGAGAUCUCAGCCGGAGAUGUGCUUCCACACUUACUGGCUGUGUGAUGCUAGACCGGUUACUUCAACUGUGAGGUCCUCCUUCCUCAUCUGUAUAAACAUCUCUAAGACUUUCAACUGACCUCAGGAUAUGAUCCCUCUUUUGUGGAGA
rnacentral:lncRNA from 1 species